rnacentral:tRNA from 1 species
GCAGAGAUGGCUGAGCUGGUCUAAGGCGCACGACUGGAAAUCGUGUGAACGCUAAUACCGUUCCGAGAGUUCGAAUCUCUCUCUCUGCGCCA